rnacentral:rRNA from 1 species
CCUACGGGAGGCAGCAGUGGGGAAUAUUGCACAAUGGGGGGAACCCUGAUGCAGCGACGCCGCGUGGGUGAAGGAGUACUUCGGUACGUAAAGCCCUAUCGGCAGGGAAGAAGCAAGACGGUACCUGACUAAGAAGCACCGGCUAACUACGUGCCAGCAGCCGCGGGAAUACGUAGGGGGCGGGCGUUAUCCGGAUUCACUGGGUGUAAAGGGAGCGUAGACGGCCAAGCAAG